rnacentral:rRNA from 1 species
AGUGAACGCUGGCGGUAGGCCUAACACAUGCAAGUCGAACGGCAGCACAGUAAGAGCUUGCUCUUACGGGUGGCGAGUGGCGGACGGGUGAGGAAUACAUCGGAAUCUACUUUUUCGUGGGGGAUAACGUAGGGAAACUUACGCUAAUACCGCAUACGACCUACGGGUGAAAGCAGGGGAUCUUCGGACCUUGCGCGAUUGAAUGAGCCGAUGUCGGAUUAGCUAGUUGGCGGGGUAAAGGCCAACCAAGCCGACGAUCCGUAGCUGGUCUGAGAGGAUGAUCAGCCACACUGGAACUGAGACACGGUCCAGACUCCUACGGGAGGCAGCAGUGGGGAAUAUUGGACAAUGGGCGCAAGCCUGAUCCAGCCAUACCGCGUGGGUGAAGAAGGCCUUCGGGUUGUAAAGCCCUUUUGUUGGGAAAGAAAAGCAGCAGGUUAAUACCCCGCUGUUCUGACGGUACCCAAAGAAUAAGCACCGGCUAACUUCGUG